rnacentral:sRNA from 1 species
CAAUCUUAUUUAAAUAGGUUCUCAUCACUUGCUCCUCGAAUUUUUAUAUGUCGCCGUGUGACAUAUAAAAAUCGAGGAGCAAGUGAUGAGAACUUAUUUUAAUAAGAUUG